GACGAACGCUGGCGGCGUGCUUAACACAUGCAAGUCGAACGGAAAGGCCCUGCUUUUGUGGGGUGCUCGAGUGGCGAACGGGUGAGUAACACGUGAGUAACCUGCCCUUGACUUUGGGAUAACUUCAGGAAACUGGGGCUAAUACCGGAUAGGAGCUCCUGCUGCAUGGUGGGGGUGGGAACGUUUCGGCGGUUGGGGAUGGAUUCGCGGCUUACCGGCUUGUUGGUGGGGUAGUGGCUUACCAAGGCUUUGACGGGUACCCGGCCUGAGAGGGUGACCGGCCACAUGGGGACUGAGAUACGGCGCAGACUCCUACGGGAGGCAGCAGUGGGGAAUAUUGCACAAUGGGCGGAAGCCUGAUGCAGCAACGCCGCGGGCGGGAUGACGGCCUGCGGGUUGUAAACCGCUUUCGCCUGUGACGAAGCGUGAGUGACGGUAAUGGGUAAAGAAGCACCGGCUAACUACGUG
rnacentral:rRNA from 1 species